CCUAACAACAAGCUUGAAUUUUCAGGUAGGCGAAAGAACAAAAACAAAAUUUUGGAAAUUCAACUUAGUAAACUGGGGAAAAUAUGUUCGAAAACAACAAAUAUAAUCCAUCCUGAUGAGGCAACAAAGUUACUGUUGUUUUGCUGUUCCUAUGUACCAUUCCCGGGAUUUCCCGGUCGCAAGUAUUUGAUGCUGUGUGUUCUGAUGGCAAGCUUUUCCGUUCUUUUAUGCAUGUUUUGAUGGUGUACACUACGUAUUCAGUGAUUACUCCGGUAUGGACCGUAUGGUGAAGUGUAAAAUUUCCGUGACUCAAAAACAGCUCUGAAAAUUUAUUUGCCUUUCUUGUCCUGUUGUCUCUUGUUAACUGCUUUUGUACUUCAUUUUCAGUGACAGUCUAUUCUUUCUUGCUUUCCAAUAAUUUUUGUGUCUGCGUAGACACAAUGCUAUAGAGUUGUGUGUGUGGUAAACACUCAGGUCAACUAAUUAGGGCUGUACGCCUGCGAACAGGCAGUAAAACAAAUAUGGCGGCUUUCUUGCAGAUACAUGUACACUAAGCGUACAUGUACCUGCGUAUUUUUUAUUUAACUGCACUGUAUAAUUCUGUUCACAUUAUUUUGGCAAACCAAAAAAGUGAAAAAUCACAACAGCCAACAGUAUAUUAUGGUGUUAUACCGUCAUAAUAAUUGUAUGUGCAUAAUAGCUAGCCUAUCAAAUUAUGUGUUACAUACAUGUACCACUUAUAUUAUAAAAUUCAAUAAAUUCAUUAUGGCAGCUGAUAGUUAACCAUUGGUCGCAUACAUGCCUAAAUCGCAAAUUAUUUGCUGGUAUUAUAUUGUGAAUAAAAGAACUUAAAAAAUUGUGUAUGGCACAUUAUUGUCAUCUUGGGGAGGUUUUUGGAAAGUUCCCAGAUCAUGCGUUCGCUUGCUCCAGCAAUACUUAAUUACAAAGGUAACAACUCCAAAAAGGAACACAAAUGAACUUGUAACAAUUACCAAGAUUAGCCAUGUGGGAUAUGUGCUGCAACAGUCUGUCUCAUUAGAUGUGGCACAAAGGCUGUUUGAGCUACAAGAUUUAUUGAUACAUUGUGUUCUACAAUCACGUGCACUUAAUUCAGAUUCUGACAAGCCGAGCUUCCAGCAACAAGAAUAAUCCUUUAUGUCACAAUAAAAAUGGGAAUCACAUUGAUCUGUUACACAUACCCCAUCUCGACACCAUUCUCCAAGUGCCAUUCCCCCACAACCAUGAUGUGUAAUACAACUUUUCCCAAGACAGCUGGUAUUACAAUGGUAUCCAAAGGAGUGUCGCGCCUGGAAUCGCAGCGGAGGUUGCAGGUGUAAACAGUGUUUACAUUAUAUAGCCUUAUUUAUGCACUGUUACGCACUUAUGUUAUUGUAUAUAUACUUGUUAUACACUGAUCACCGAUUGAUACCAGC